UACGUAGGGGGCGAGCGUUGUCCGGAAUCAUUGGGCGUAAAGAGCUCGUAGGCGGCUCAGUAAGUCGGGUGUGAAACCCUCAGGCUCAACCUGGGGACGCCACCCGAUACUGCUGUGGCUAGAGUCCAGUAGGGGAGUGUGGAAUUCCCGGUGUAGCGGUGAAAUGCGCAGAUAUCGGGAGGAACACCAGCGGCGAAGGCGGCACUCUGGGCUGGAACUGACGCUGAGGAGCGAAAGCGUGGGUAGCAAACAGG
rnacentral:rRNA from 1 species